AAAAAGACAAACUCUGGUUUCCGUGCCCAACGUUUGACCGUCCGUCUUAUUUGAAAAAAUUAUAAAAAAAAUUAAAAAGACAAGUCACGCAUAAAAUAUUAAUCAUGUUUUAUCAUUUAACAAGAAUAAAAAUACGAAUUAUAAAAAAAUUUUAUAUAAGACGGACAGUCAAAGUUGAACAUGGAAACCCAGGGUUUGCCUUUUC
rnacentral:pre_miRNA from 1 species